GUUUGAUCCUGGCUCAAGAUGAACCCUAGCGGCAGGCUUAAUACAUGCAAGUCGAACGGCAGCGGGUCCAGCAAUGGAUGCCGGCGAGUGGCGCACGGGUGCGUAACACGUAUGCAACCUACCUUUAACCGGGACAUAACCUCAAGAAAUCGUGGCUAAUAUUCCAUAAUAUCUUUGAAUCGCAUGGUUUGAAGAUCAAAAUUCCGAUGGUUCUAGAUGGGCAUGCGCGACAUUAGCUAGUUGGUGAGGUAAUGGCUCACCAAGGCUACGAUGUUUAGGGGGUCUGAGAGGAUGAUCCCCCACACUGGAACUGAGACACGGUCCAGACUCCUACGGGAGGCAGCAGUGAGGAAUAUUGGUCAAUGGAGGCAACUCUGAACCAGCCAAGUCGCGUGAAGGAUGAAGGUCUUAUGGAUUGUAAACUUCUUUUGCAAGGGAAUAAAGUGGGGGACGUGUCCUCCUUUGCAUGUACCUUGCGAAUAAGGAUCGGCUAACUCCGUGCCAGCAGCCGCGGUAAUACGGAGGAUCCGAGCGUUAUCCGGAUUUAUUGGGUUUAAAGGGUGCGCAGGCGGGAUGUUAAGUCGGCGGUGAAAUUUUGCAGCCCAACUGUAAAAGUGCCUUCGAUACUGGCUUUCUUGAGUGUGGAUGAAGUAGGCGGAAUUUGUGGUGUAGCGGUGAAAUGCUUAGAUAUCACGAGGAACUCCGAUUGCGCAGGCAGCUUACUAAACCACUACUGACGCUCAUGCACGAAGGCGUGGGGAUCAAACAGGAUUAGAUACCCUGGUAGUCCACGCAGUAAACGAUGAUUACUAGUUGUUUGCGAUACAAUGUAAGCGACUGAGCGAAAGCGUUAAGUAUUCCGCCUGGGGAGUACGGUCGCAAGAUUAAAACUCAAAGGAAUUGACGGGGGCCCGCACAAGCAGCGGAGCAUGUGGUUUAAUUCGAAGCAACGCGAAGAACCUUACCUAGACUUGACAUCUCCUGCAUUACCCUUAAUCGGGGAAGUUCCUUCGGGGACAGGAAGACAGGUGGUGCAUGGUUGUCGUCAGCUCGUGUCGUGAGAUGUUGGGUUAAGUCCCGCAACGAGCGCAACCCUUAUUGUUAGUUGCUACCAUUUAGUUGAGCACUCUAGCGAGACUGCCCGGGUUAACCGGGAGGAAGGUGGGGAUGACGUCAAAUCAUCAUGCCCCUUAUGUCUAGGGCUACACACAUGCUACAAUGGCUGGUACAGAGAGAUGCAAUACCGCGAGGUGGAGCUAAACUUCAAAACCAGUCUCAGUUCGGAUUGCAGGCUGAAACUCGCCUGCAUGAAGCUGGAGUUGCUAGUAAUCGCGAAUCAGAAUGUCGCGGUGAAUACGUUCCCGGGCCUUGUACUCACCGCCCGUCAAG
rnacentral:rRNA from 1 species